GGAUUGAGAGGAGAUCCCAUUCCCCCCCCCCCGACCCUGUCAUUAAAACUGAAAUGGUUGGUCUGUAAAAGCCAAUUUUUGUAAGGUCGCAAAUUUAAGCUGCACCUUAACUUUUCACGGUUGGAAUUUGGAAAGAAAGUGUGACUUAUGUUCAGGCCAAUACGAUAUAUAUUAUACAUUAUCAACAAGUCUCAUUGUGCAGUUGGGUUGGAGACUGACUGGCUCUCUACCCCAUGGCAGAGUCAGAAUGGAAUACUCUACUAUUACUGAAGAAAACCCUCUUCACCCAGAACCAUUAAAGAAACUGGCAAACUGUCUGGAUUAGGAGGUUGCAGUCCAGCUUCUUGCACACGGUUAAAACUCCUCAGUCCUAUGGCAAGAGCACCCUAAUCCUAAAAAUAUGUGUGCUUUGCUUCACUCUGCAUCCCGGCAUUUCCAUAGUUAUGGGCUGAACCCUGAGUGACAAAAUCUGUGCGAAACCCAACCACGUUAUCAUAGCUACUGUUGUGAAGCUGACAGCCAUGUGUUCCCCAAGUACAUCAGGCCAACCCUCUCCACCCUAAAACCUGGGCAGCUUUGAUUCAUAAUUGCAGGCUGCCACAAUGGCCAUUGUCACGCUCCUUGAAGCUGCGAACAUGGAAAUUGCAGGGAUGGAGAAAAUCAGAACAGUGGUGACUCACAUCCCAAAUAUGAAGCUGCGGUGAGGAGAUCUCCAUCUCUUUCAGAAGGAUCCAGAGAUAGUGAUGGAAGGCACUUGGCAAUACAUUUUAUUUGUGUUGAGUGGUUGGCCCUCUUCGUUGGGAAAAUAAGCAAAUAAAUCUCAUGUAGUCCAGCUCAACCGGACAACACAUAGGCAAUAAUCUUAAGCGAGAGCGAUGGCACUCUUAAUGCAUUGGGAAUUGGUCCUCUGUAUUAAAAGCUAAUUAACAUUUGUUCUUAUUACUAGGCUGUAACACCUAUCAAUGUCUUUAGUGGAUCAGUUUCUUCUGUCUCAUCUGAUGGCAACAUCCUUGCCAGAUCCCUGCAAAUUAUUUAGCUUGAAAUAAUCCCUCUUAUUCUACUAGGUGUUUGCUUUUGAGAUGGUUCCUUUAACUCCUGUUUCUGCUUACUUUUCCAGCACUCCUGAUCCUCCUUGCCCAUUUGUUUAUAUUUGCCUUCUGCUUAUAGGCUCCACUGUUUGCUGUGUCUUUACUUAGUCAUGCUUUCCUCGGCUGCCCUUGCCAAUUGGAUUGGAUUUAGCUGGAAUGAAAGUUGGGUUGCAGGUUAUUUCCUUAAAUGCCUCUUCUUUUCAUGUGGAUUUUCAAGCGGAGGCUUCCUUAGAGGUGCUUUGCCACGGCAAUUAAAGUUAGCAUGGAUUAUUCACCUUGCUUUUCAGUUUUUUUUCAUUGAGAACGCAGUGCUUUUUAAAAUACCUGUAUCGUUGUAGACAUGAAGCAAAUCUGCUCCCAAAUACUGACCUUUGUGAAUUUUGCUAUUUGGAUAUGAACACACACACACCCCCUGGAUGUUUUCUGAAUAUUCCAAACAGCAUACAGAUAUCCUCCAAAUGGUCACCGCAUGAUCAUUUGAGUGUUGUCAAACAUGUUUAGCUACGUCCUUGGCUAGCUCUGUGAGAUUCCCCUCCCCCCUGUCCUUCCCCACAUUGUCCUUUCAUUGCACUGUCCCCAGAACUGCUCCAGAGGGUUGGGGGGAAGCCCUGAACAGAUUUAUGGGGUGCAGUGGGGGACGGAGGGGAAGAACAUGCCAUUGAGCAAAGAGAAAUCCUUGCAUUGACAGAACCAUGUAUGUAACAUUACAUUGAAUACAAUCCAUUAUCACUGAUGUUACAAUAAGAUCUGAGCCAUGCCUCCUCCUCCCCAACCACCCUUGGAUCUCCAUAAUGAAAAAAAUCACCUAAAUGUUUUGCCUUGCCAGAAACCGUGGGUCCCCACUGUGGCGAUCACACAGGGUCCCCGGAUGUUUCACCAUCUAGUGAUCCCAGUGCCACCACUUUAUUUCUCGCUGCCACCACCCAGCCCCUACCUGGUACAAUACUGAGUCCAAUCAGGGUUAAAUCGGAACAUAAGCUUCUGUUUAUUUAUUGCAGUUUAACAAGUGUGUGGUUUCAUAAACAGUAUCGGUCAAUUACAAUCAUGGGAUGCCCAUCCAGACCUAUAACUUCCGCUUCCUGCUCUCACUAGCUAAACCACCUCUCAGAUAUCUACUUGUCUUCCUAGCUCCUAACUGUUCCUGACUCAGCUUAUUUUGCUACACUAACUCAACCUACCCACAGACUCUAUCCCAAUUCACUCCCACUCCAACCAACCACCCAACUCCCAAUGAACUCCACCCUUGCCCCCCCCAGCUGGUUUUAUAGUCCCUCUGACGCCACUCCCCCUGGGUUCUGAUUGGGUAACCUGUUUAACUAUUUCACCUCCAGCACACUCAUAUGUUAACAUCAUACCCCCCGCCAGACUUUACUCCUUUGCUGGAAUUGGAGGGGGGAGGCCGUUUUUGCUUAUCUCCUCCCCUGCAGCUUAUAGCCACCACUGCCAUCUCCCCACACUUUACCAUUACAGUAAAACAAUAAAACACUUAAUAGCUAGUAAAAAUAAACCACAAACAUCCUAUCUCUCUCCCCCACCACCCAUACCAAUAAAUACAUAACAACACCCAAAAUGAAAUCGGAACACCACACAAGAAAAAAUGCAAGGGGCUCUUCAGUAGGGAUUGCCAAAUCUGUUUGUUUCAGCUUCUCUUGGUUUCUUAUUUUGCCAGGCUUAACCUCAGUGUUCCACAUCAUUUCCGCAUCAGUUUGCAUUUUUUUUAAAAGUCCUCAUGAAAAUUCCUCAGCAUUUCAGUGUGAAUUUCUCUAAAUAUGCACAUUUUAGUUUGCAAUUUUCCAAAAUGUAAUGCAUGUGUGUAUAUUAUGUUCACUAAAAAAAAAGAGCUUUGUUCUGCACAAUUUACACCAGUAUAUGCACUUUUGUAAACAUGACUUGGCUGAAGAACUGCAUUGCAACAUUUGGAGAAGUACAGCUUUCGAAGGAUGGCCAUAUUUUGGUUCACAUAUGGUUUUGGAAUGAAUUGGGUAGCCUUGGCUUGAAACACAAACAAAACCCAAUUUCUCUGCCUUCCCUAGUCUUCAGGGCUUUUCUAAACACACGGGGCAUGUUCGAGCACAGCUGGCAAAGUGUUGCAGAGAUGUGGGGCCCGUGCAGAAAAGGCCCUUCCCUAGCACCUGUCAAUCAAAUUGCUCUCAGAGGCAGUCACCUAAGGAGGACCUCUGCUGCCAGCUUCCAAGUAUGGGCAGGUUAGCAUGAGUGGAUGUGGUUCUUUAGAUAACAGUUAAGGCAUUGAUUCAUAGAAGUUAUUCCAAAUUAGCAAGAGAUAUUCGUAUGACUCCAACCAGAAUAAGGAUUUGGAAUCCAUAAAGAAGUGGAUAAGUUAUACUUUGCAAGGUUAUAUUAGCUCUAGUUAAUGGAUUUUAUUCAUACUUUAGCACUGAGAAUGUCUCCAUAUUGAGUUGUGGCCAAUAAUGAAGAUGAUAUUUAUUUAUGUCUCGUUCUGUUUACUCUUCCCUCAUUAACCAUCCAAAUGGAUUUAUGAGAGUCCUCACUGUUAUACAAGUAGAAUAAGUGCCGAAUAUAUGCAGCCAUUUGUUUCGGUGUGCAAAAAUAACACUAGCAAAAUAAAUGUUGCUUUUGCCUAGCUGAGGCACCAUAUCAAGAAGUUUAAAAUAUUAACAGCCUUGUCAUAAGAUCAAACUAAGGUGGGCCAGAGAUCCAAUUGCAUGUCUUCAAAAUCUAUACCAGGCUGGUUUUAACACAAGUUUAUUAUGGAUGUUUAUAAUGAAUGUGCUUUUGUAGAGGUUUUGUUGCAUUUGGGGGAGAAGAUUGACUGAUAGUGCUGUUAGAUUGAUUGACUGAUUGAUGUGCUGUUAGAAGGCAGCCCUCUAUUUGAAUGGUUGUUUUGUCUAAGUCCAGUUUAAAGAUAAAGAACCCUAAGAAGUAAGAGCAGGAGGAGACUUGCAGUGGUUCAUCAACAAUUAAUUAGCACCAGGGUGGAUAAAAAUCAAUGAUUUUUUAAUUUAAAAAAAAUCAUUUUUAAAAAAUUUAAAUCGGAUUUUUAAAAUAAAAUGCUUUUGGAGGAAAAAUCUUUCUAAAGAUAGUUUUCUAUUUAAGUUAUAUUAUAGUCCAAUAUAGUUAUAUUAUAUUCAUCAGGAAAUAAGGAUUUGAUUUAAGUUUUUCAUGUGUGGUAAAACUCAGUCUAAGGGUGUUUUUUAAUGAAAAAAAAAUCAUUUAACCAUAUCAGUUAACAAACAUGGAUACAUAUGCUAUAAUGUUAUUCUUUUAGUUAAAUAAAUAGUUCAAAUUGUUAUUAAGAAAAUGAUUAUCUUUCUCCUUCCAAUAAAGUACAGCAGAAAAGUUGUCCAAGUAUAAACAAUAAUUUCAUAAUUAUCUGUCUGUAUUUCUAAUAGUAUAUCCAAAUCAGUAAUUUUUGAUAUAAUAGUAAAUACUACUCUGAAAAUUUAGUAUUCCAAAAACUAAAACUUCAUCUGGUUGCAAAUAUUAACAUUAUACCAGCAAGAAUGAGUCUUUCUAC
rnacentral:lncRNA from 1 species